rnacentral:rRNA from 1 species
UUGAACGCUGGCGGUAUGCUUUACACAUGCAAGUCGAACGGGCUAUGGGGCUUGCUCCAUAGUUAGUGGCGAACGGGUGAGUAAUAUAUCGGAACAUAUCCUGUCGUGGGGGAUAACUAAUCGAAAGGUUAGCUAAUACCGCAUACGACCUGAGGGAGAAAGCGGGGGCUCGCAAGACCUCGCGCGAUUGGAGUGGCCGAUAUCUGAUUAGCUAGAUGGUGAGGUAAAGGCUCACCAUGGCGACGAUCAGUAGCUGGUCUGAGAGGAUGAUCAGCCACACUGGGACUGAGACACGGCCCAGACUCCUACGGGAGGCAGCAGUGGGGAAUUUUGGACAAUGGGCGCAAGCCUGAUCCAGCCAUGCCGCGUGAGUGAAGAAGGCCUUCGGGUUGUAAAGCUCUUUCAGACGGAAAGAAAUCGGGCGCGUGAAUAGCGUGCCUGGAUGACGGUACUGUCAGAAGAAGCACCGGCUAACUACGU